rnacentral:rRNA from 2 species
CCUACGGGGGGCAGCAGUGGGGAAUAUUGCACAAUGGAGGGAACUCUGAUGCAGCGACGCCGCGUGAGCGAAGAAGGAAUUCGUUUCGUAAAGCUCUGUCCUAUGGGAAGAUAAUGACGGUACCAUAGAAGAAAGCCCCGGCUAACUACGUGCCAGCAGCCGCGGUAAUACGUAGGGGGCGAGCGUUGUCCGGAAUUAUUGGGCGUAAAGGGUUCGUAGGCGGUAAUACAUGUCAGAUGUGAAAUCUUGUGGCUUAACCACAUCAAGCAUCUGAAACUGUAUAACUUGAGUGGAGGAGAGGUAAGUGGAAUUCCUAGUGUAGCGGUGAAAUGCGUAGAUAUUAGGAAGAAUACCAGUAGCGAAGGCGACUUACUGGCCUCUAACUGACGCUGAUGAACGAAAGCGUGGGUAGCAAACAGGAUUAGAUACCCCGGUAGUC